UUUAAAAUUUAACCUGCCCAAUGAAGAUUAAAUGGCCGCAGUAAUUUGACUGUGCAAAGGUAGCAUAAUCAUUAGUUUUUUAAUUGAAAGCUGGUAUGAAUGGUUGGACGAGAAAAUGACUGUCUCAAUUUAAAUUUAAUUAGAAUUUUAUUUUUAAGUUAAAAAGCUUAAAUAAUAUUAAAAGACGAGAAGACCCUAUAGAGUUUUAUAUAUUAAUAUAUUUAUAAUUUAAGGUAAUUUAAUGUUAUAAAUAAAUUGAUGUAUUUUGUUGGGGUGAUAGUAAAAUUAAAUUAACUUUUAUUAUUUAUUUACAUUAAUUAAUGAAUUUAUGAUCCAUUAUUUAUGAUUAAAAGAUUAAAUUACCUUAGGGAUAACAGCGUUAUUUUUUUAAGAGUUCUUAUUGAAAAAAAAGUUUGCGACCUCGAUGUUGGAUUAAAAUUAACUUUAGGUGCAGGAGCUUAAAGGUUAGGUCUGUUCGACCUUUAAAAUUUUACAUGAUCUGAGUUCAAACCGG
rnacentral:rRNA from 1 species